UGGAUUGAGCCUUGGUAUGGAAAAUCCGUCGACUUUAUAAAUCGUGAGGGUUCAAGCCCCUCUAUCCCC
rnacentral:tRNA from 1 species